rnacentral:rRNA from 1 species
GACGAACGCUGGCGGCGUGCUUAACACAUGCAAGUCGAACGAUGAAGAAGAGAAACGCGAACUUCGGUUCAAAUUUCACUUCGGAUUAGUGGCAGACGGGUGAGUAACGCGUGAGCAACCUACCUCUUACAAAGGGAUAGCCUCGGGAAACCGUGAUUAAUACCAUAUGACACAUUCAUAAGGCAUCUUAAGAAUGUUAAAGCUACGGCGGUAAGAGAUGGGCUCGCGUCCCAUUAGCUAGUUGGUGAGGUAACGGCCCACCAAGGCGACGAUGGGUAACCGGCCUGAGAGGGUGAACGGUCACAUUGGAACUGAGGCACGGUCCAAACUCCUACGGGAGGCAGCAGUGGGGAAUAUUGCACAAUGGAGGGAACUCUGAUGCAGCGACGCCGCGUGAGCGAUGAAGGAAUUCGUUUCGUAAAGCUCUGUUCUAUGGGAAGAAAAGGACUGUACCAUAGGAGAAAGCCCCGGCUAAAUACGUG